rnacentral:rRNA from 1 species
GACGAACGCUGGCGGCGUGCUUAACACAUGCAAGUCGAACGCUGAAGCACCAGCUUGCUGGUGUGGAUGAGUGGCGAACGGGUGAGUAAUACGUGAGUAACCUGCCCUUGACUCUGGGAUAAGCCCGGGAAACUGGGUCUAAUACUGGAUGCUACAUGUCACCGCAUGGUGGUGUGUGGAAAGGGUUUACUGGUCUUGGAUGGGCUCACGGCCUAUCAGCUUGUUGGUGAGGUAAUGGCUCACCAAGGCGACGACGGGUAGCCGGCCUGAGAGGGUGACCGGCCACACUGGGACUGAGACACGGCCCAGACUCCUACGGGGGGCAGCAGUGGGGAAUAUUGCACAAUGGGCGAAAGCCUGAUGCAGCGACGCCGCGUGAGGGAUGACGGCCUUCGGGUUGUAAACCUCUUUCAGCAGGGAAGAAGCCACAAGUGACGGUACCUGCAGAAGAAGCGCCGGCUAACUACGUG